GACGAGGGGUCCUAGCGUUGCUCGGAAUCAUUGGGCGUAAAGCGAAUGUAGGCGGCUUUGUAAGUCAGUUGUGAAAUCCCCGAGCUCAACUCGGGAACUGCUUCUGAUACUGCAAAGCUAGAGUACGGGAGAGGGCAGUAGAAUUCCUGGUGUAGUGGUGAAAUACGUAGAUAUCAGGAGGAAUACCGGUGGCGAAGGCGGCUGCCUGGCCCAAUACUGACGCUGAGAUUCGAAAGCGUGGGGAUCAAACAGG
rnacentral:rRNA from 1 species